rnacentral:rRNA from 1 species
UACGUAGGGUGCAAGCGUUGUCCGGAAUUAUUGGGCGUAAAGAGCUCGUAGGCGGUCUGUCGCGUCGAAUGUGAAAACCCGGGGCUCAACCCCGGGCCUGCAUUCGAUACGGGCAGACUAGAGUUCGGUAGGGGAGUCUGGAAUUCCUGGUGUAGCGGUGAAAUGCGCAGAUAUCAGGAGGAACACCGGUGGCGAAGGCGGGUCUCUGGGCAUUACCUGACGCUGAGGAGCGAAAGUGUGGGGAGCGAACAGG